CUUGAUCUGACCGAGGGACUGAGGGGUCACAAUGUGACUUGUGAUAAUUUUUUUACCUCUUAUCAACUCGGACAAUAGCUCCUGAGGAGGAAGAUUACCAUGGUUGGUAAAGUUCGUAAAAACAAGCCUGAGCUCCCACCUGCAUUGCAUCAUAAGAGAGAGAAGUCUUCUCAUCAAAAUUUGCCUUCACACCCACUACCACUUUAGUGUCUUAUUUACCUAAGAAAAACAAAAAUGUAUUUCUUCUAAGCACACUGCACAGAGACGGGAGCAUUAGUGAUCGUGACGAUCGAAGGCCAAUCAUAAUUAUGGACUACAAUCGAAACAAAGGAUAUGUGGACAAUCUAGACAUGGUAAUUGGAGCAUACAGCUGCAGAAGGAUAUCCACAUCUACCUUUAAAAAUAGUUUUCCAAGUAACUUUUAUUUGUAGAUUUAAAUAUUUACAAAGUUGAUAGAAACUUCGUCGACAGGGAGAACGCUCGUUCGUCUGCAGAAGGCGGAGCAAUAUGGACUGUGCCUAUGUUUGGGCCUCGUGGAGGAAGGAAGAGAACCUUGGUCACUUACAAGAAGUGAAGUGUGUGUCCGUGUCAGAGACCUCAUCAUUAAAAGUCGAUUUAGUCCUACGAAGUUUUGGUUCUCUGUUGUUCCUACUCUCCCGUUCACAUCAUUGGAUAAUGGAUGUGAAACGGUCUCUCCUUUGGAUCAUCCCAAGUUGGAUAAGGGUACAUCGAGCAAGAUCGAUAUGUCUCCCAGGGACGAGCGGUGAUCGUGUCCCUAAAACCUCUAUAAGGGUGAAGGUUAUGUCUCCCAGGGACGAGCAGGGUGAUCAUGCCUCUAAAACCUCGAUAAGGGUGAAGGCUAUUUCUCCCAGGGACGAACAGGGUGCUCGUGUCCCUAAAACCUCUAUGAGGAGUAAUGUUCUCCUUUCUCCGGUGCGCGUGCUGAGAGCACAGCACGUCUAUGGAGAUAAAAAUUUUAUGUACAAGAGCGAAUUGUUUGUCCGCGUCUGGACAUGGAUGGUGCGGAUCUAUAAGCUGCUAUUCAUGGAGCGGAACCUGUGUAAGCACCGUCAUGGAUUUGGUGCUUGGGGGUGAUGUUAUGUAUUUCGUAUUUCCUUCCCCUUGUUCUUCCCAUGAAGAAGAGGGGUGAUUAUCUUUUUGAUUAAACUCCACGUCUCGCUUGUGUUUUGCAACCUAAAGUUAUGACAUCUUUAACUGGAUUCCGAUGUCAGAACAAGAAAAUAUUAUUUGGAUCAAUCUUUUAUUUCAAUAUUCUGUAUAUAUAAUUUAGUUACUAUUCUUGUGAACUCGUUAUAGAUGUUGUACAAAUGUAUUGUUUUGAGCAAUAUUUAUCACAAAUAUUAGAUGUCAAUAGUAGUCAGUGCCUCUUAAUUUAGUAAAUUUUUUUCAGAUUGUCUUUGGAAGAAAUACAAUCUUUGCUUGAUGAAGAAUAUUCUGACAGUGAAACUGAGUGUGCUCAAGUUUUAACAAUUGAACCGCCCAUUGAAGAAGCAGUAGCGGACACAGACUGUUACUCUGAUUCAUCCGACAAUCAGGUGACAUGUAAUCCCGAUCAUUUACCAAGAAGAAUUUUACUUUCUAAAGUCGUACCAAAUGAAAUCGAAUCAGAAACACCUGAAACUCCAGCGACAAAGAAACCUCGCAAAGAGAAAAUUAUUUGGCAUAAAAAUUUAAAAACAUUGAAUGUGAUUUUACAGAAGAAAUUGGUGAAGAUAUAAUAUUAUCUGAAUGUGCUUUAGAAUGUAUUGG
rnacentral:misc_RNA from 1 species